CUUUGUUGACAAUAGUAGGUAUUUUAACGAUCUUCUGUAACAGCAAUAACGAGUGUUCACAUUUAUUCUGAGUGACCGGAACAUGAGAGAAAUAUAUUCACUGAUAUAAGAACUGAUAUAAAAGCAUAGAUCGUCUGAAUCGGAGGAAAUAUUUUUGGAUCCGGAUGGUAAUGGCUUUUUUAUUUUUACAAAAAUGAAAUCUUCUGAUUUUAUCAUUAACCGUAAUAUAUCUUAAACAAGAAUCAUAAUUUAAUCUAACCUAAUUAUAGGAACAGUGAUCAUUUCCUCUUUCUUACCUGACACAUUUUGCAAUUUGCCUACAGGGAGACCAGGUGUCCUAUAUAUGUGAAGAUAUGACAACGUUGUUUUAAGGAAUGCUAAGAAGUAAUUACCAUAUAAAGAAUAGCAAAUGGAAAGUCCAAGGUUAUAAUUCCUCGACAAAGCCCAAAGAAGACUAGUUCAUAAACCUCCCGAGCAGAAAGAAUCAUACUGACGUCAUUCAAAAGUACUGAGUUCAUUUAGGGACAUCUAAAGAAACAUAUGACAUGCAAUCGCAUUUGAUAUUCCGCAAAUUUUAAUCUAGCAGUUGUAUGGUUACAAAAAUGUUAACGCUACAAAUAAUUAUGAAACUGUUUCGUAUGAUCCUAAUAGCUAUAUGUUGAUGAAUCCUUUUAAAUACUUUAUUAUUUUCUGCAAC